GAAGGGAUAGCUCAGUGGUAGAGCAUUCAAAUGUAGUUUGGGAGGUCCCCGGUUAAAACCCGGGUGCCCCUAUUUUCA